UACGUAGGUGGCAAGCGUUGUCCGGAAUUAUUGGGCGUAAAGAGCUCAUAGGCGGCUUGUCGCGUCGGCUGUGAAAACCCGCGGCUCAACUGUGGGCGGGCAGCUGAUACGGGCAGGCUGGAGUUCGGUAGGGGAGACUGGAAUUCCUGGUGUAGCGGUGAAAUGCGCAGAUAUCAGGAGGAACACCGGUGGCGAAGGCAGCUCGCUGGGACGGUACUGACGCUGAGACGCGAAAGCGUGGGGAGCAAACAGG
rnacentral:rRNA from 1 species